CAGUCGCCGCGGUAACACGGAGGGAGCUAGCGUUGUUCGGAAUUACUGGGCGUAAAGCGCGCGUAGGCGGUUACUCAAGUCAGAGGUGAAAGCCCGGGGCUCAACCCCGGAACUGCCUUUGAAACUAGGUGACUAGAAUCUUGGAGAGGUCAGUGGAAUUCCGAGUGUAGAGGUGAAAUUCGUAGAUAUUCGGAAGAACACCAGUGGCGAAGGCGACUGACUGGACAAGUAUUGACGCUGAGGUGCGAAAGCGUGGGGAGCAAACAGGAUUAGAUACCCGCGUAGUCCCUGUCUCUUAUAC
rnacentral:rRNA from 1 species